GCCUACGACCAUAUCACCCUGAAUGCGCCCGAUCUCGUCUGAUCUCGGAAGCUAAGCAUGGUCGAGCCUGGUUAUUACUUGGAUGGGAGACUGCCUGGGAAUACCAGGUGUUGUAGGCU
rnacentral:rRNA from 1 species